rnacentral:rRNA from 1 species
UUUUUCGGAGAGUUUGAUCCUGGCUCAGGACGAACGCUGGCGGCGUGCCUAAUACAUGCAAGUCGAGCGGACAGAAGGGAGCUUGCUCCCGGAUGUUAGCGGCGGACGGGUGAGUAACACGUGGGUAACCUGCCUGUAAGACUGGGAUAACUCCGGGAAACCGGAGCUAAUACCGGAUAGUUCCUUGAACCGCAUGGUUCAAGGAUGAAAGACGGUUUCGGCUGUCACUUACA